rnacentral:rRNA from 1 species
GCAGCAGUAGGGAAUCUUCCACAAUGGGGGAAACCCUGACGCAGCGACGCNGCNUGCGGGAUGAAGGCCUUCGGGUUGUAAACCGCUUUCAGCAGGGACGAGGCCGCAAGGUGACGGUACCUGCAGAAGAAGCUCCGGCUAAAUACGUGCCAGCAGCCGCGGUAAUACGUAUGGAGCAAGCGUUAUCCGGAUUCAUUGGGCGUAAAGCGCUCGUAGGCGGUCUGUUAGGUCGGUNAGUUAAAUCCGGGGGCUCAACCCCCGUCCGCUUCCGAUACCGGCAGACUUGAGUUUGGUAGGGGAAGGUGGAAUUCCUAGUGUAGCGGUGGAAUGCGCAGAUAUUAGGAAGAACACCGGUGGCGAAGGCGGCCUUCUGGGCCAUAACUGACGCUGAGGAGCNAAAGCUAGGGGAGCGAACAGGAUUAGAUACCCUGGUAGUCCUAGCCGUAAACGAUGGACACUAGGNGUGGGGGGAUGUACCU